GGAGACAGGAGGAGGAGGCAGAGGAGGAGACAGGAGGAGGAGACAGAGGAGGAGACAGAGGAGGAGACAGAGGAGGAGUCAGAGGAGACAGGAGGAGGAGUCAGAGGAGGAGUCAGAGGAGACAGGAGGAGGAGGCAGAGGAGGAGACAGAGGAGGAGACAGAGGAGGAGUCAGAGGAGGAGUCAGAGGAGGAGUCAGAGGAGGAGACAGAGGAGGAGGCAGAGGAG